rnacentral:rRNA from 1 species
ACUAAAGCAUACUUAGUACGGCGAGUGAGCGGUAAAAGCUCAAAUUUGAAAUCUGGUACUUUCAGUGCCCGAGUUGUAAUUUGUAGAAUUUGUCUUUGAUUAGGUCCUUGUCUAUGUUCCUUGGAACAGGACGUCAUAGAGGGUGAGAAUCCCGUUUGGCGAGGAUACCUUUUCUCUGUAAGACUUUUUCGAAGAGUCGAGUUGUUUGGGAAUGCAGCUCAAAGUGGGUGGUAAAUUCCAUCUAAAGCUAAAUAUUGGCGAGAGACCGAUAGCGAACAAGUACAGUGAUGGAAAGAUGAAAAGAACUUUGAAAAGAGAGUGAAAAAGUACGUGAAAUUGUUGAAAGGGAAGGGCAUUUGAUCAGACAUGGUGUUUUUUGCAUGCACUCGCCUCUCGUGGGCUUGGGCCUCUCAAAAAUUUCACUGGGCCAACAUCAAUUCUGGCAGCAGGAUAAAUCAUUAAGAAUGUAGCUACUUCGGUAGUGUUAUAGCUUUUUGGAAUACUGUUAGCCGGGAUUGAGGACUGCGCUUCGGCAAGGAUGUUGGCAUAAUGGUUAAAUGCCGCCCGUCUUGACCCCCGGGACCA